CGCAGCAAAAUGCGAUAAGUAAUGUGAAUUGCAGAAUUCAGUGAAUCAUCGAAUCUUUGAACGCACAUUGCGCCCGCCAGUAUUCUGGCGGGCAUGCCUGUUCGAGCGUCAUUUCAACCCUCAAGCUCAGCUUGGUGUUGGGACUCGCGGUAACCCGCGUUCCCCAAAUCGAUUGGCGGUCACGUCGAGCUUCCAUAGCGUAGUAAUCAUACACCUCGUUACUGGUAAUCGUCGCGGCCACGCCGUUAAACCCCAACUUCUGAAUGUUGACCUCGGAUCAGGUAGGAAUACCCGCUGAACUUAAGCAUAUCAAUAAGCGGAGGA
rnacentral:rRNA from 1 species